rnacentral:rRNA from 1 species
AACGAACGCUUUCGGUAUGCUUAACACAUGCAAGUUGAACGGAUUAAUUUAGGGCUUGCUCUGAAUUAGUUAGUAGCAAACGGGUGAGUAACACGUGGGAAUCUACCCAUCAGUACGGAAUAACACUUAGAAAUAAAUGCUAAUACCGUAUAUUCUCUUCAGAGGAAAGAUUUAUCGCUGAUGGAUGAGCCCGCGUCAGAUUAGGUAGUUGGUAGGGUAAUGGCCUACCAAGCCAACGAUCUGUAGCUGGUCUGAGAGGAUGAUCAGCCACACUGGGACUGAGACGCGGCCCAGACUCCU